rnacentral:lncRNA from 1 species
AUGCCGCUGUGCCAGGCCAGGCGUACGGGUGUUCCAAUCGGCCAGGGUAUGGGAGUAAAAAAAGUUUCUUUAGCAUCCCAAACCCAAUGCAAGACAGGGAGAGAUGUUCUCAGUGGUUGAACAAUAUUGGGACGAACAAGUUUAAUAUACGGACAUAUCAAUUUAGCAAAAAUAGAGUCGUUUGCGAGGACCACUUCGAGGCUGAUUGUUUUCAGGAAUUCGGGCGAAAUGAAGUACGAGGCCCGAAUGAAACUACUACUAAAACCCGAUGCCAUUCCUACCAUCUUCUUCCACCGUCCUCAACCACCAUCCAAGAGGAAAUCAACAACACGACGUCGGGAAGAGUCUGAGCGUCAAAAGACGCACUUGACCAUCGAAGCUUGCGGGACUUUGACAGACAUCACACAUCAGUCUCCAUUGCAUUCCUGGAUCAACAUUUGCUGGACUGAGUGGACUCCAGGCCUUUGUUCAUUUUAAUGGUUAUUAAUUUGAAGACUCAUCAGCAGUUAUGCUUCACGUUGCAACAAACAAUCUUGAACGGGGAGUUUGGGAGAAGGACGAGAAGGAUUUUGUUCAGCUUAAUCCUUUCAAUAAAACAAAAAUCUCUGAUACUUCCAAAGUUCCAAGGUGGGAUUCCAGAGCUUCACACGAACAAAGCAUUUAUUAUAUUAAUAGAAACAUGACUGAACAACAAUCAUUUGUUGUUGUUUUUCUGACAGACGCACUCAACCAUCGAAGCUUGCGGGACAUUGACAGACAUCAAUCUUCGUUGUAUGAAGUAGCAUUUACCGAGGAAGAAGAAAGAAGAACUGUCACCUUUAUACAAUUUAACAAUAUUGAACUCUAAGAAUACUUUUAUUCUCAGCGACACAUUUUAUGCGUGUGAUGGUCUCAAUAUAAAUGUCAAAGUCAGUUCAUAAAUAAAAUAUAAAUAUUAUAAAAUGCAAA